CAAGUCGAACGGCAGCACGGACUUCGGUCUGGUGGCGAGUGGCGAACGGGUGAGUAAUGUACCGGAACGUGCCCAGUAGCGGGGGAUAACUACGCGAAAGCGUAGCUAAUACCGCAUACGCCCUACGGGGGAAAGCAGGGGAUCGUAAGACCUUGCACUAUUGGAGCGGCCGAUAUCGGAUUAGCUAGUUGGUGGGGUAACGGCUCACCAAGGCGACGAUCCGUAGCUGGUUUGAGAGGACCACCUGCCACACUGGGACUGAGACACGGCCCAGACUCCUACGGGAGGCAGCAGUGGGGAAUUUUGGACAAUGGGGGAAACCCUGAUCCAGCCAUCCCGCGUGCGCGAUGAAGGCCUUCGGGUUGUAAAGCACUUUUGGCAGGAAAGAAACGUCAUGGGUUAAUACCCCGUGAAACUGACGGUACCUGCAGAAUAAGCACCGGCUAACUACGUGCCAGCAGCCGCGGUAAUACGUAGGGUGCAAGCGUUAAUCGGAAUUACUGGGCGUAAAGCGUGCGCAGGCGGUUCGGAAAAAAAGAUGUGAAAUCCCAGAGCUUAACUUUGGAACUGCAUUUUUAACUACCGGGCUAGAGUGUGUCAGAGGGAGGUGGAGUUCCGCGUGUAGCAGUGAAAUGCGUGAUAUGCGGAGGAACACCGAUGGCGAACGCAUCCUCCUGGAUAACACUGACGCUCAUGCACGAAAGCGUGGGGAGCAAACGGGAUUAUAUACCCUGGUAUUCCACGCCCUAAACGAUGUCCACUAGCUGUUGGGGGCCUUCGGGCCUUGGAAGGCGCAGCUAACGCGUGAAGUAGGACCGCCCUGGGG
rnacentral:rRNA from 1 species